rnacentral:rRNA from 1 species
UACGUAGGGUGCGAGCGUUGUCCGGAAUUAUUGGGCGUAAAGGGCGCGUAGGCGGCCUUCUAAGUCGGACGUGAAAUCCCUCGGCUUAACCGAGGAACUGCGUCCGAUACUGAAAGGCUUGAAUCCGGGAGAGGGAUGUGGAAUUCCAGGUGUAGCGGUGAAAUGCGUAGAUAUCCGGAGGAACACCGGUGGCGAAGGCGGCAUCCUGGACCGGUAUUGACGCUGAGGCGCGAAAGCUAGGGGAGCAAACGGG